CUUGACAUCCAGAGAACUUGGCAGAGAUGCCUUGGUGCCUUCGGGAACUCUGAGACAGGUGCUGCAUGGCUGUCGUCAGCUCGUGUUGUGAAAUGUUGGGUUAAGUCCGCAACGAGCGCAACCCCUAUCCUUUGUUGCCAGCGAUUCGGUCGGGAACUCAAAGGAGACUGCCGGUGAUAAACCGGAGGAAGGUGGGGAUGACGUCAAGUCAUCAUGGCCCUUACGAGUAGGGCUACACACGUGCUACAAUGGCGCAUACAAAGAGAAGCGACCUCGCGAGAGCAAGCGGACCUCAUAAAGUGCGUCGUAGUCCGGAUCGGAGUCUGCAACUCGACUCCGUGAAGUCGGAAUCGCUAGUAAUCGUAGAUCAGAAUGCUACGGUGAAUACGUUCCCGGGCCUUGUACACACCGCCCGUCACACCAUGGGAGUGGGUUGCAAAAGAAGUAGAUAGCUUAACCUUCGGGAGGGCGUUUACCACUUUGUGAUUCAUGACUGGGGUGAAGUCGUAACAAGGUAGGCGUAGACGU
rnacentral:rRNA from 1 species